GUCUUUGUAGUAUAUACAAAUACCUUGGUCUUGUAAACCAAAAAAGGAGAGCAUUUAUCCUCCCUAAGACU
rnacentral:tRNA from 2 species